GCAAGUCGAGCGAACAGAUAAGGAGCUUGCUCCUUUGACGUUAGCGGCGGACGGGUGAGUAACACGUGGGUAACCUACCUAUAAGACUGGGAUAACUUCGGGAAACCGGAGCUAAUACCGGAUAACAUUUGGAACCGCAUGGUUCUAAAGUGAAAGAUGGUUUUGCUAUCACUUAUAGAUGGACCCGCGCCGUAUUAGCUAGUUGGUAAGGUAACGGCUUACCAAGGCGACGAUACGUAGCCGACCUGAGAGGGUGAUCGGCCACACUGGAACUGAGACACGGUCCAGACUCCUACGGGAGGCAGCAGUAGGGAAUCUUCCGCAAUGGGCGAAAGCCUGACGGAGCAACGCCGCGUGAGUGAUGAAGGGUUUCGGCUCGUAAAACUCUGUUAUUAGGGAAGAACAAACGUGUAAGUAACUGUGCACGUCUUGACGGUACCUAAUCAGAAAGCCACGGCUAACUACGUGCCAGCAGCCGCGGUAAUACGUAGGUGGCAAGCGUUAUCCGGAAUUAUUGGGCGUAAAGCGCGCGUAGGCGGUUUCUUAAGUCUGAUGUGAAAGCCCACGGCUCAACCGUGGAGGGUCAUUGGAAACUGGGAAACUUGAGUGCAGAAGAGGAAAGUGGAAUUCCAUGUGUAGCGGUGAAAUGCGCAGAGAUAUGGAGGAACACCAGUGGCGAAGGCGACUUUCUGGUCUGUAACUGACGCUGAUGUGCGAAAGCGUGGGGAUCAAACAGGAUUAGAUACCCUGGUAGUCCACGCCGUAAACGAUGAGUGCUAAGUGUUAGGGGGUUUCCGCCCCUUAGUGCUGCAGCUAACGCAUUAAGCACUCCGCCUGGGGAGUACGACCGCAAGGUUGAAACUCAAAGGAAUUGACGGGGACCCGCACAAGCGGUGGAGCAUGUGGUUUAAUUCGAAGCAACGCGAAGAACCUUACCAAAUCUUGACAUCCUUUGAAAACUCUAGAGAUAGAGCCUUCCCCUUCGGGGGACAAAGUGACAGGUGGUGCAUGGUUGUCGUCAGCUCGUGUCGUGAGAUGUUGGGUUAAGUCCCGCAACGAGCGCAACCCUUAAGCUUAGUUGCCAUCAUUAAGUUGGGCACUCUAGGUUGACUGCCGGUGACAAACCGGAGGAAGGUGGGGAUGACGUCAAAUCAUCAUGCCCCUUAUGAUUUGGGCUACACACGUGCUACAAUGGACAAUACAAAGGGCAGCUAAACCGCGAGGUCAUGCAAAUCCCAUAAAGUUGUUCUCAGUUCGGAUUGUAGUCUGCAACUCGACUACAUGAAGCUGGAAUCGCUAGUAAUCGUAGAUCAGCAUGCUACGGUGAAUACGUUCCCGGGUCUUGUACACACCGCCCGUCACACCACGAGAGUUUGUAACACCCGAAGCCGGUGGAGUAACCAUUUAUGGAGCUAGCCGUCGAAGG
rnacentral:rRNA from 2 species